CGCCCGCUGGAUCGCGGCCAGUUCGGCGCAGCCGCCGACGGCGAGGUCGAGCAGGGCGUUCAGCUCGUCGCGGGCGA
rnacentral:tRNA from 2 species